rnacentral:rRNA from 1 species
AUUUCAGCUUGCACUGAAUGAGAUUUUAACACGAAGUGAGUGGCGGACGGGUGAGUAACACGUGGGUAACCUGCCCAGAAGCAGGGGAUAACACCUGGAAACAGAUGCUAAUACCGUAUAACAGAAAAAACCGCCUGGUUUUCUUUUAAAAGAUGGCUCUGCUAUCACUUCUGGAUGGACCCGCGGCGCAUUAGCUAGUUGGUGAGGUAACGGCUCACCAAGGCGAUGAUGCGUAGCCGACCUGAGAGGGUAAUCGGCCACAUUGGGACUGAAACACGGCGCAAACUCCUACGGGAGGCAGCAGUAGGGAAUCUUCCACAAUGGACGCAAGUCUGAUGGAGCAACGCCCCGUGAGUGAAGAAGGGUUUCGGCUCGUAAAGCUCUGAUGUUAAAGAAGAACGUGGGUGAAAGUAACUGUUCACCCAGUGACGGUAUUUAACCAGAAAGCCACGGCUAACUACGUGCCAGCAGCCGCGGUAAUACGUAAGUGGCAAGCGUUAUCCGGAUUUAUUGGGCGUAAAGCGAGCGCAGGCGGUCUUUUAAGUCUAAUGUGAAAGCCUUCGGCUCAACCGAAGAAGUGCAUUGGAAACUGGGAGACUUGAGUGCAGAAGAAGACAGUGGAACUCCAUGUGUAGCGGUGAAAUGCGUAGAUAUAUGGAAGAACACCAGUGGCGAAGGCGGCUGUCUGGUCUGUAACUGACGCUGAGGCUCGACAUGUGGUUUAAUUCGAAGCUACGCGAAGAAAAUGGGCAAAU